rnacentral:rRNA from 1 species
GACAGCAGCAGCCGCGGUAAUACAGAGGGUGCGAGCGUUAAUCGGAUUUACUGGGCGUAAAGCGUGCGUAGGCGGCUUUUUAAGUCGGAUGUGAAAUCCCUGAGCUUAACUUAGGAAUUGCAUUCGAUACUGGGAAGCUAGAGUAUGGGAGAGGAUGGUAGAAUUCCAGGUGUAGCGGUGAAAUGCGUAGAGAUCUGGAGGAAUACCGAUGGCGAAGGCAGCCAUCUGGCCUAAUACUGACGCUGAGGUACGAAAGCAUGGGGAGCAAACAGGAUUAGAUACCCCAGUAGUCCCUGUCUCUUAUAA